UAGAGUUUGAUCCUGGCUCAGGACGAACGCUGGCGGCGCGCUUAACACAUGCAAGUCGAGCGAGAACCAGGCCUUCGGGCCUGGGGAAAGCGGCGAACGGGUGAGUAACACGUGAGUAACCUGCCCUCGGCACCGGGAUAGCCCGGGGAAACCCGGAUUAAUACCGGAUAGCCAUUCGAGCUCUCGAGCUCGAAUGAAAAGGUAGCUUCGGCCUCUGGCCGAGGAUGGGCUCGCGGCGGAUUAGCUUGUUGGUGGGGUAAUGGCCCACCAAGGCGACGAUCCGUAGCUGGUCUGAGAGGACGAUCAGCCACACUGGGACUGAGACACGGCCCAGACUCCUACGGGAGGCAGCAGUGGGGAAUCUUGCGCAAUGGGCGAAAGCCUGACGCAGCGACGCCGCGUGCGGGAAGAAGGCCUUCGGGUUGUAAAC
rnacentral:rRNA from 1 species